rnacentral:rRNA from 1 species
GUGAGUGAUGAAGGUUUUCGGAUCGUAAAGCUCUGUUGUUAGGGAAGAACAAGUGCGAGAGUAACUGCUCGCACCUUGACGGUACCUAACCAGAAAGCCACGGCUAACUACGUGCCAGCAGCCGCGGUAAUACGUAGGUGGCAAGCGUUGUCCGGAAUUAUUGGGCGUAAAGGGCUCGCAGGCGGUUUCUUAAGUCUGAUGUGAAAGCCCCCGGCUCAACCGGGGAGGGUCAUUGGAAACUGGGAAACUUGAGUGCAGAAGAGGAGAGUGGAAUUCCACGUGUAGCGGUGAAAUGCGUAGAGAUGUGGAGGAACACCAGUGGCGAAGGCGACUCUCUGGUCUGUAACUGACGCUGAGGAGCGAAAGCGUGGGGAGCGAACAGGAUUAGAUACCCUGGUAGUCCACGCCGUAAACGAUGAGUGCUAAGUGUUAGGGGGUUUCCGCCCCUUAGUGCUGCAGCUAACGCAUUAAGCACUCCGCCUGGGGAGUACGGUCGCAAGACUGAAACUCAAAGGAAUUGACGGGGGCCCGCACAAGCGGUGGAGCAUGUGGUUUAAUUCGAAGCAACGCGAAGAACCUUACCAGGUCUUGACAUCCUCUGACAACCCUAGAGAUAGGGCUUUCCCUUCGGGGACAGAGUGACAGGUGGUGCAUGGUUGUCGUCAGCUCGUGUCGUGAGAUGUUGGGUUAAGUCCCGCAACGAGCGCAACCCUUGAUCUUAGUUGCCAGCAUUCAGUUGGGCACUCUAAGGUGACUGCCGGUGACAAACCGGAGGAAGGUGGGG